CUCCGGUUGAUCCCGCCGGACCUGACUGCUAUCGGAUUGGUACUAAGCCAUGCGAGUCGUUGUAGCAAUACAAGGCGGACGGCUCAGUAACACGUAGUCAACCUAACCUAUGGACGUGGAUAACCUCGGGAAACUGAGAAUAAACCGCGAUAGAUCAUUAUGCCUGGAAUGGCUUAUGGUUCAAACAAUUUAUUGCCGUAGGAUGGGACUGCGGCCUAUCAGCUUGUUGGUGAGGUAAUGGCCCACCAAGGCUAUAACAGGUACGGGCUCUGAGAGGAGAAGCCCGGAGAUGGGUACUGAGACACGGACCCAGGCCCUAUGGGGCGCAGCAGGCGAGAAACCUUAGCAAUGUGCGAAAGCACGACUAGGUUAAUCCGAGUGAUUUCUGUUGAAGAAAUCUUUUGUCAGUCGUAAAACCACAGACGAAUAAGGGGUGGGCAAGUCUGGUGUCAGCCGCCGCGGUAAUACCAGCACCUCGAGUGGUCAGGAGGUUUAUUGGGCCUAAAGCAUCCGUAGCCGGCUACGCAAGUCUCCGGUUAAAUCCAGCUGCUCAACAGAUGGGCUGCCGGAGAUACUACAUAGCUAGGGAGCGGGAGAGGUAGACGGUAUUCUGUGGGUAGGGGUAAAAUCCACUGAUCCAUAGAGGACCACCAGUGGCGAAGGCGGUCUACCAGAACGCGUUCGACGGUGAGGGAUGAAAGCUGGGGGAGCAAACCGGAUUAGAUACCCGGGUAGUCCCAGCCGUAAACGAUGCAAACUCGGUGAUGCAUUGGCUUAUGGCCAAUGCAGUGCCGCAGGGAAGCCGUUAAGUUUGCCGCCUGGGAAGUACGGACGCAAGUCUGAAACUUAAAGGAAUUGGCGGGGGAGCA
rnacentral:rRNA from 1 species